GCAUAGAUAACGUGCCCUUUACUGGGGAGUAACACCGGGAACUGGUGCUAAUACCGCAUAAGUGCCAGGUUGCAAUACCUGUCAUUAAAGAAUUUCGGUAAAGGAUCGGUCUGUGUCGGAUUAGCUAGUUGGCGGGGUAAUAGCCCACCAAGGCGAUGAUCCGUAGUUGGUCUGAGAGGAUGACCAGCCAGAGUGGGACUGAGACACGGCCCACACUCCUACGGGAGGCAGCAGUAGGGAAUAUUGCGCAAUGGGGCGAAAGCCUGACGCAGCAACACCGCGUGGAGGAUGAAGUUUCUA
rnacentral:rRNA from 1 species